rfam:Sporomusa sphaeroides DSM 2875 SPSPH_contig000001, whole genome shotgun sequence.
UCCAUCGCGAGGUGGAAUCUGAAGGAAGCCAGCGGCAAAUCUCCGGUCUGACGAACAGAAAUCACAUAAAAGGCAGGAAAAAAACCGGGUGAGGUUGCAACUCAAACCGAAGCCCCAAACUAUUCGAGGUCAAUCCUGUAGAUGUGGCAGAUAGAUGGAGAGAAAGACUGCGUU